GGGUGCAUCUACAGUUCAAGUGUUCAGUGCUGGGAGGCAAACCAGCUAUCCUGAAGUACCUACUGCUUACUCAUCUAAUUCUCUUACACUCUUCCUCCUCCACUCUCUCAGGAAAGAGCAGUGCUUCUGAAGCUUCCCAGAGGCAAUGAACAUAUCCUGAAGAUUCCCUCCCUCCACUAGACAGGUUCACAGCUAUAUUCUGACUCUACCUGUUUCAGAGGAACAGAACCUGUGGAGCACUUCCCUCAUGCCUGUCUCAUCAACCACAUGUUAGAACAAAAAUUUUCAAAACUCCAGAGGCAAGAGAAGCUUCAGUGCUACUCCAGACACAUCUGUUUACAAGUGUUCAAUAUUUGUGUUCAGGGGGUCUACAGGGUGCCUGCUGUAAGAAACUUCCAGAAGCUUUACAUGUGUCCAACAGAGUCAAUGCCAGCCAGCUCCAGGGUGGACCUGCCACUGGCCAAGGCUGAGCCCACAGCAGCAGCACCUCUCAG